UCACGUGAUUGGCCCUCCUGCUGUGACGCAUGUCUGAUGCACCCUCCGCAGCGGGGCGGUGGAUUUGAAACGUCACCGCCGCUGCACACCUGCAGCCUCUCGGCCCUGAUUGUCUCUGUCUCCCGCUGCUCCGUCCACGACCGCACACACAACGUUUCACCGUGCCGUUGUUUGCGGUUCCCGGAGUGUUUGUUCGCUGGCUCUUCGUGACUCCAGCCGCGGGCCACGAACACAACAGCUGGAGGCUGAAGCGGAGCUUCCCUCGGCCGUGGUUCACUGGGACCGGGAGUUUGACGCUGACCGCUCCACUCCACCGAGAAACACGUGAAAUCCAACCUGUUCGUGCUGAGCUCCACGUGGCCUGAGUCAAGAGAAGCUAACUGAAGUCUCUCCCACUGUGAAUGUGAGGGGAAAGGAGGCAGAGGUCUAUAUACAAGGUAAGGCUUAAACAUCUCAUAUCUGCGCAACACAAGUUUGUUCUAGGAAAAGCAAACGAUGGAUGUCUAGUGUUUCUUCUCA